rnacentral:rRNA from 1 species
UACGGGGGGGCAAGCGUUGUUCGGAAUUACUGGGCGUAAAGGGCUCGUAGGUGGCCAACUAAGUCAGACGUGAAAUCCCCAGGCUCAACCUGGGAACUGCAUCCGAUACUGGAUGGCUUGAAUUCGGGAGAGGGAUGCAGAAUUCCAGGUGUAGCGGUGAAAUGCGUAGAUAUCUGGAGGAAUACCGGUGGCGAAGGCGGCAUCCUGGACCGACAUUGACGCUGAGGAGCGAAAGCCAGGGGAGCAAACGGG